rnacentral:lncRNA from 1 species
CGUGUCUUGUAGUGACCACCGUCCUUUGUUGUUUCAUUUACCUUUUCUUACAAACCAUUGGAGUUAUUUUUGUCAACUUUUUGGUUGUUUCAGAUGAAAGAGCGAACAGGCCCUCUGUUACUGCAUUCUAGCCGGAAGCUGCUUGGCUGAGGCAAUUUGAUUCAGCCACAGAGAUACUUAAAGACCUCUUAUGAAGCAUUAUUGUUUUCUCAAAAAUCUGCCAUUCGCAUUGGAAGGAAUUGUAAUUGAGCCCCCAUCUUGCCUGUGGUAAAACUCAUUUACAUCAUCUUCCAAAAGACAACUAAUGAUGAGCAGAAAAAUAUUACAUUCAGAAGAAUCUGUUUCAAAAUGCUUUAGGCAGGACUUUCAAGUAUGAAAACAAUUCUCCGACAACAUUUUAAACGAAAAACGCUAAACUAUUCAUUGCAACACUGCACAACUGACUUUUGCAGACCUUCGACUGACUCAACAACUGUCGUUUGACCCAGAUAUCUUUGUAUGAUGUGUCUUUACAAAGGCCAUAGCAAAUAUUUCAACCAACUUCCUCAAGAUAUAAGCAGAAAUGUAGCACAGGAUUAAAAUACCAGGUGUGAAAUAUGGAAAUAGGAAAAACACAACAGUGUGGUGGAAGGAGCACUAUAUCAGAGCAAAUAGUGACAUUUUCUGCUGCUGCUUCUUCUACUUCCGUCUACAUAUUCCAGGAUCUCUUCAAUCUAAUUGUGAUUUCAUGCACUCCAAGUUGAGAACUCAUGCGGGAUGCUGAGUUUACUAAACCCUAAUCAGUAUGGCAGUCAAAGAUUCCAUAGUGCCUGGCUGUUGAAUGGAAAGAUCAGUCUUCUCAAGAUGAUCAAAAUCUCCCAUAAGUAUAUUCACUGUGUACUUACAUGAAUACAUUGAUGUCAACUGAAAUAUAAUUUAUUUCAAAUUCUUUAUUUUGUGUGUCUAUUAAGUAUGCUUACAUUUUUAUGUCAACAUAGUUUCACUUUUUAUGUUAGAAAAUGCUAAGCAAUAAAUGCUACACCUGAAUGCUGAAAGAUAUUAGUGUUGCUUGAAGCUCACCAAAUAAACACACAGAUACUCCACUGGUAUAGUCCAGUCCUGACCUUCAGUGGAUAGGAAACUAUUCAGUGAAAUGUAAUGCACAGUACUGGAUUACAGUUAGUGGAAUUUUUCAAAGUAAAUUAUCUAUAUCUGUAUUACUUGAUUCAGCUUGAAUCCUCUUUUAAAUUAAGUAUGUUUUAACUAUUUUUUUUAUUAAUUACUGACAAACUGCUAUUUUACAGCCACUUCUGUUAUUCUUAUUAAACACAAAGUUUGCACUAUUUACAAAUGUGCAUUAAUAUGAAAUUAUUGGUUUCUGCAAUUUCUCAAAAAAAUUUCAUCAUGUACCUCAAAGCUAAGGUAGUUGGAGGUUCAAGUUCCAAUUAGAACUCAGUGCAAAUCCCUUCUGCAGAUACAAGUAUAGUAAAAUAACUAUUGCCUGGGAAUUUCAGAAAACUUUUAUAGCUCCUGCUAUUGCCUUCUUGCCAAAAUGAACUAUCUGUUCAUCUAUUCUAAAUUAGAACUGUGUAGUUAACAAAGAUCAAGAAGAUUAAAAACAUGGUGUGAGGUCAGUAUAGCAUAACAUUUAGUAUUUCCUUUUGUAAGUACUGCUCUCCUGUGCUUAGUUAAGUAUUAUUUAAGAUACUAUUGGAUCUUUAUAGAAUGUUCCCAUCAUUAAAAUUUAAUUUUGACACUACAAUACGUACAAAGUUCUGUCAAGUAUUAUUAAUGAUUAAACAAUGAGGAAAUAUGUUAUUACAGUGUGUUCAAUCUUUAAUGUCCAUUAAAUCCACUUGGUAAAUGUAAAUGUAAAUGAUACUAACUACAAUUCUCAUUCUCUAGUCCUUUACACAUUAUAAAGAAAUGAGGAUCCUAUAAUACCAAUCAAUAAGUGAUGAAAUCAAACUGUGUGUGGUGGCUGAAAUUGGAAUGGGCCUUUCACAGAAAUCUUAUCAUUCUCCUACUAGGGACAGUGCUGAACAGACGUUUCACCUCCCAUUUUGUAAGCAAAUGCCUAUGUGUGUAGCACUGUGAUUAUAUUUCUGUCGUGGGCCUUAGAUCAUCUUCAGCAUCAGAGAGUUCUAAAAAUCCCAUUAAGAAAUCAUUUCAAGGAAACAUAAAUGUUCUUAGAAAUAAUCUCCAAUGCUUUUCUAAUUUCUUAUAUUAAUGUCUCGUGCAACCCUCUUCUCAGAAUGGGUAAUAAAACCUCUUAUAUUUACGCACAGAGAGAUAUGUACAUUCAUCUUAUUUACUUCCUAUUUUAAUUGCUGUCCCAACUAAAUACAACACAUGUAAUGCAAAUGUUUGCCAAACUUUGUAUGGGUUGUACUUAACAUGUAUAAUACUGGCAUUUUAGCUGAAGUGAUCGUGACAAAACCUUCCUGAAUAAAAAUUACUUUUUUAGAAAGGAAACAAUUCUGUUGCAAAAUCAAGUUGUUACUUUUUCUUAUGAUUUUGUAGCCUAAUGAAAAAUGAAUACAUGAUGAAAUUUAACCCAAUUUCCUUUCACUUUUAAUUGAUCUUCGUGGGCUUGAGGGAAUUUGUCUUUAUAUUUAUCUCCCAGGGAGAAUUUCGACCAAAUUUUUUGAGUGAGUUAUCAUCAUUCAACUUUGCCUGGCUAAAAGCCCUAAAAUAGGGACAAAAUUUACAUUAAAUAUCUCACUUUCUAUUUUAGCAUGCUGUGGAUCAGCAGAAGGUUCAAGCUAACAUACUGAUUGUAAGGGUAAUGUAGGCAACGGGUAGUGAAGGCCUUUGUUAUCUUCUGAUAAGUUUGUUUUGAGUAUCAUUUUUCUCUUACAUGCUUAUUUUUGUUUCAAUUGUGAAGACUCACGAUUUACAGCCAUAAUCUUCCCAACUACAUUUAAAAUUAUUGCAUGUCAAAAAGUAUUGGCAUUUGACCAUUUAUUCAAUUAUUCUUGAUAGUCUGACAUGAUUAAAAGCACAAUCAUUCUACUCAAAUUACAAGAAGUCUGCAUCAUUUGAGGUGCCUGCCCGCUCCUAAUAAUACUCUUUCUUCUGAGAACAGAUUCACCCAACAUGUCCACUAUUCCUGUGCUCCAGAAAAAAUAAAAUAGAGUACUACCAGGGCGGUCCAACAGGUCCCUGCUCCCUGGCCGUAGACGAUAAAAGGGUAGGCAACUGCCCUGGGCUAGUUGGAAAUUCCUUCACAGGAAUUUAGAAGUGAGAAAGAGAAAGAUUGUAAUUCCGUCAGGACUGUUUGUUUGGACUUAGGUGGAUGCAAACCUGGAAGUGAAGGUGGAGAAGAGCUUCUUUAUAUUUGGAAAAAUGGAGAAAUCCAGUCUAUGGAGAGAAGGAAUAGCUGUACGGAGAAGGCAGAGAAGAGAAAGCAAGAGCAUGAGACCAGGGGACCUUGGCUAGUCUUCCUACAGCUUUCCAGUUCUCAGUUUUACUUACCUAAGAAAAUAGAUGAUUUUUAAAUCUCUUGGAUUUUUUGUAUUAACGUGACAUCAACAACUUUCACAACUUUGUAGCCAUCUAUAAUUAUUCUUAAGGCAAACGUCAGAUGGCACGUUUUUGUUUUACUUUGAAGUACAUAAGAGAGAUGUACUUUGAAGUACAUAAGAGAGAUGUCAUAAACCCUGUAGCUCUUCGUCCAGGUUUAGGAAACAUACUUCAGGCUUAUUUUUACUGGUG